AGUGGCGGACGGGUGAGUAACGCGUGAGAAUCUGCCUUGGGGUCGGGGACAACCACUGGAAACGGUGGCUAAUACCGGAUAAGCCGAUUGGUGAAAGAUUUAUUGCCCGAAGAGGAGCUCGCGUCUGAUUAGCUAGUUGGUGAGGUAAGAGCUCACCAAGGCAGCGAUCAGUAGCUGGUCUGAGAGGACGAUCAGCCACACUGGGACUGAGACACGGCCCAGACUCCUACGGGAGGCAGCAGUGGGGAAUUUUCCGCAAUGGGCGAAAGCCUGACGGAGCAAGACCGCGUGAGGGAGGAAGGCUCUUGGGUUGUAAACCUCUUUUCUCAGGGAAGAAGCUCUGACGGUACCUGAGGAAUCAGCCUCGGCUAACUCCGUGCCAGCAGCCGCGGUAAUACGGAGGAGGCAAGCGUUAUCCGGAAUUAUUGGGCGUAAAGCGUCCGCAGGUGGCGAUUCAAGUCUGCUGUCAAAGCACGGGGCUUAACUCCGUAAAGGCAGUGGAAACUGAAUAGCUAGAGUGCCGUAGGGGUAGAGGGAAUUCCCGGUGUAGCGGUGAAAUGCGUAGAGAUCGGGAAGAACAUCGGUGGCGAAAGCGCUCUACUGGACGGCAACUGACACUCAGGGACGAAAGCUAGGGGAGCGAAUAGGAUUAGAUACCCC
rnacentral:rRNA from 1 species